UGCCGACUGGGUGUCUGCACUAAGUUUGGAAUCAUUAUGAUGACCUCCCAGGAGUGGGGAACCACCGGGUUGCCUAAGGUGGGGUGAACCUGCCCAGGUCAGAAAUGGAGCAGGUCAAAACUCCCAUGCUAAUCAAUAAUGGGAUUGUGCCUAUGAA
rnacentral:SRP_RNA from 1 species